rnacentral:rRNA from 1 species
CCUACGGGAUGCAGCAGUAGGGAAUAUUGCUCAAUGGGGGAAACCCUGAAGCAGCAACGCCGCGUGGAGGAUGAAGGUUUUCGGAUUGUAAACUCCUUUUGUUAGAGAAGAUAAUGACGGUAUGUAACGAAUAAGCACCGGCUAACUCCGUGCCAGCAGCCGCGGCAAUACGGAGGGUGCAAGCGUUACUCGGAAUCACUGGGCGUAAAGAGGGCGUAGGCGGGAUAGCAAGUCAGAUGUGAAAUCCUAUGGCUUAACCCUAGAACUGCAUUUGAAACUGUUAUUCUAGAGUAUGGGAGAGGUAGGUGGAAUUCUUGGUGUAGGGGUAAAAUCCGUAGAGAUCAAGAGGAAUACUCAUUGCGAAGGCGACCUGCUAGAACAUAACUGACGCUGAUGCGCGAAAGCGUGGGGAGCAAACAGGAUUAGAUACCCGGGUAGUC